AUGUUUUGGGCAUUUGGACAGUGCUUACAGGCCUUCCGUACUUGUCGCCCUGUGCUAUGCAUCAAGGGCACACCUCUAUGCGGGAAAUAUCAAGGGAUGCUGCUUACUGCUGUAGCAUCAGAUGCUAAUGGUUUCUCCUUUCCAGUAGCAUGUGCUGUCGUUGAGGGCGAGACCAAGGAAAGCUGGUUGUGGUUUCUUAGGAAUUUGGAGCGAGCAGUGGUGCAUCAGUCUGUCGUGUGCAUUAUACACGACUACAAAAGGGAUUUGAUCAAUGCUGUGAAGGACCUUCUGAAUUCCCGUGAACGACAGUGGUGUAGAGCAGAAAGUCGGUGGUGCAUGGAAGACUUUGCUGAAAACUUCUUUGCGUAUUUUGGUGACAAGAAGCUUGUGAUGAUGUUCAAGAAACUUUGCCAGCAGAAGUGA
rnacentral:rRNA from 1 species